rnacentral:pre_miRNA from 1 species
ACCCAUCAAAUGAAAUGAGUUAUGGGUUGACCCAACUCAUUUUGUUAAAUGAGUUGGGUCUAACCCAUAACUCAUUUAAUCAUAAA